CCAGAGGAGUCAGAUAUAAUCAGAUGUUCUGUUUCCAUUUACAGAGCCCUGGAAAUGUUUGAGGCCGGUUGUCAUAAGUCACGGUUCCAGCCAGUGCUGUGCUGAGCCAUGUUGCAAAAGGAAGGCUGUGUACUACAUACUACAUAACUGGAUACAUGGUUUUAUGUAUUUUUUAAAAUGGUUACUGGAGGCUCACACCUGUAAUCCCAGCACUUUGGGAGGCUGAGAGGCAGGAGCUCACCAAGUUUUCUAGGCUAGUGUCAAACUCCUGGCCUUGUUACCAGCAGCAAAUCCUACAGGUCUGCAGCAACCUCAAUUCUCACCUCCUCAGAAGAAAUAAUUCGACUGAGAUGCAGAAGUCAGGAGACACUGAGUGGGUUGGUCAGCAGAGGGAAGAGAGAUCAGAAAGCAGAAAGCUGUAUGGAGGAAUGACUUCAUCUCACUAACUCCAAAGUGUUACAUCUACCUUGACCAGAAUCGUGGCUUCUAAAAGAGCUCACUGGCAGAAAGAAAUAGGAAGGUGAAAAGAAAGGAGAGAAUAAAGACAAGAGAAUUAUAACCAAGAAAAGUGAGUUUUUCCAGAAAGAAUUUUAUUGUCAAGUAAUUCUGCAAGGGAACAAAGUCUUCUGAGAAGCAUGAAGC
rnacentral:lncRNA from 1 species